ACUGUGAAGUCACAAGAGGCCCUGAGCUCUGUGGGCCCCAGGUGCCCCGGGAAAACUUGGGGGAGAAUGGGCAUCCCACCCCAGCACUUUCUAGGAAGAAGGGCAGCAUUUUGAAGGGCUGGAAGUAGAGGAAGGAGGUUGCGGGUAGAAGACUCCAUACUUUCUGUGACGCCUAUUCCUUAGUCAGAGGCAUGGCUUGCCUGGGCCUCUGGGUGCAGCUGCACAGAUUCAAGCAGCCUGAAGGAAAGGUGACUGACAGCUAAUGAUCUGAAAAGAACUUGUCUCAACUCAACGUCAUUCCUGGCAUUAUCGAACAAAGCAAUAAACCUCACAGAAUGGAAGCUACAGUGUCCAGGGCCAGCUCUGCUAAGGUAACCAAAGACAGAGAAGGAGGCAAAAGUGACAGAAGAAACUCAUGGGAAACCAACAGAAAUAUAAUGGCUUUGGCAGAAAUGCAAUUAUCAAUUGGGAGCUUGUGAUGAAUGUUUUCUCAGUAUCCUAUGCUGAAAACAGGUAGAUACUAAUAUCGAUCUUCAAGGGAGGGCUGUUGAGUAUUGAAUAAGACAAAAACAUGGAAGCAAUCAGCACCAUGCUGAACAACAGAAGUUUCAACAUUCUGCCAACAGAGUAACUCCUGGAAGAUUGGCACAGAAGAAGGCACAAGGAGAGCCUUUAUAUAACCAAAGAUAUUUUUGGACCAUGAAUUCAGAAAUUCUCGGAGCCACCCAUCAGUGCCUGAGCUUCAGUGAGUCCAUAUCCCAUGUCACCCACGGCAAAGGAGACUCUAAGACUUCUGAAGAGUUUCUUGCUUCUUUCCUGUGGGGCAGUGACUCCACUUCCCAGCAGUAAUGGAAUAUCCUGAAUUAGCUACAUUAAUGUUAGAACCAUUUGGACCUCACCCAGGACUUCAACUACAUUAUGCUAAAGUUACAGAACCCAAAUUUGGCAACUGUCUGCAUCUGAACAACAGAAGUUUCAACAUUCUGCCAACAGAGUAACUCCUGGACGAUUGGCACAGAAGAAGGCACAAGGUUCUAGUAUGUUACGUUUAUGUUCCCCUGCUUUCUACAAUCCUGUUCAAAGAGUUGCUGACUUAACCACAGAGAGGAUUCCAGAACCUGAGACACAGAAUAAACUUGAGCAAUCAUAGUCCAUCCACUUCAUUGUCUCAUCAAAAACCAAAGGUCCAGUGAAGCUCUGGAACUCAACGCUGUAAAGGAGCGAAGGAGCUUCUAUACAGAGCCUGGAUGCCUGUCUCCUUAUCCUACUUCAGUGGACUUGACUGCAAUCCGGAUUAUGCUGUUUUCUAAGCAUUUAAAAUAAAAUAAAAAGUAUAAUAGUGUGAUAAGUUCUUUCACAAAGCAAGCAAUCACAUUUAUGUUUCUACUUACAUUUGGGUUUUCCAAAUAUGUGUGUGUGUGUGUGUGUGUGUGUGUGUGUGUGUAUGUAGACUUUAAACAUGGUGCAUCCAUCAUGUUGCACUAAAUCAAAACCACCAAAUAAUGAUGUAGAACUAAUAAAUCAAAACCAUCAAAUAAUGACAUAGAAAUCCAAUUCUCCCACCUUACACCCAUUAAGAUGGCUACU
rnacentral:lncRNA from 1 species